rnacentral:tRNA from 1 species
UAGCUCAGUCGGUAGAGGAUGAGAGUCUUAAUCUCAAGGUCGUGGGUUCGAGCCCCAC